rnacentral:piRNA from 1 species
UGAGCAUGUUGAAUGAUGAGUGUUGGC